rnacentral:rRNA from 1 species
UACAGAGGUCUCAAGCGUUGUUCGGAUUUAUUGGGCUUAAAGGGCGCGUAGGCGGCGGGGUAAGUCGGGUGUGAAAUCUCAGGGCUCAACCCUGAAACUGCACUUGAUACUGCUCUGCUUGAGGACUGGAGAGGAGACUGGAAUUCACGGUGUAGCAGUGAAAUGCGUAGAUACCGUGAGGAAGACCAGUGGCGAAGGCGGGUCUCUGGACAGUUCCUGACGCUGAGGCGCGAAGGCCAGGGGAGCAAACGGG